UCUAGGCCCCGUCAGGAGCCCGAGUUGUAAUUUGGAGAGGACACUUCGGGUAACGGCGAGUGAAGCGGCAAAAGCUCAAAUUUGAAAUCUGGCAUCCGUUAGGUGUCCGAGUUGUAAUUUGGAGAGGAUACUUCGGGUGCGGCUACGGCGUAAGUCCCUUGGAACAGGGCGUCAUAGAGGGUGAGAAUCCCGUCUUAAGUCGUUUGUCCGCGCCCAUGCAAAGUUCCUUCGACGAGUCGAGUUGUUUGGGAAUGCAGCUCUAAGUGGGUGGUAAAUUUCAUCUAAAGCUAAAUAUUGGCCGGAGACCGAUAGCGAACAAGUAGAGUGAUCGAAAGGUUAAAAGCACCUUGAAAAGGGAGUUAAAUAGCACGUGAAAUUGUUGAAAGGGAAGCGCUUGCAGCCAGACUCGGUCACAGGGGCUCAGCGAGCAUGCGUGCUCGUGUACUCCUUUGUGCUCGGGCCAGCAUCAGUUCUGGCGGUUGGUUAAAGGCCCUUGGAAUGUAUCGUCCUCCGGGACGUCUUAUAGCCAAGGGUGCAAUGCGGCCAGCCGGGACUGAGGAACGCGCUUCGGCACGGAUGCUGGCGUAAUGGUUGUAAGCGACCCGUCUUGAAAACCGGACCA
rnacentral:rRNA from 2 species